rnacentral:piRNA from 1 species
UACGUUUUCACAUACUUACGACC